AGCGGGCGCGGGCGGCGGGACGCGCCCCGGUUCCUUCUUUCCUUCCUUCCUCGGACUGGCCCGGCCCGGCCGCCCUCCCCAGCCCUAUUUAUUCGGGCGCCGGAGCCGCUCGCGGCCGCAGCAGAAGUAGCCAAAGAGAACUUCCCGUGGUCUCAGCUCCUGGCGUGGCACUGCUGGCCCUGCUGGAGUCCUGGCACCAAUUCCAUCCCACGACCCAGCAGCUUCAGAGCUGGAAUUGCUGUGCAGUGCUGCGCCGAGGAAUCCUUCUGCCCUCCCAGGGAGCAUCUCCUGCAUCCACUUCAGGCGGCCGCAGCGCUGCGUCCCCUCGGCUCCUUCUGCCCCGUGUGGAGCAGAGGACGACACCGGCGCCCAGCAGCCCCCAUCCCAGUGAGAGGUGUCCUUCCCUGAACCCCCAGCUCGGUGUAUCCGUGUGGUGGUG
ensembl:lncRNA